GAUGAACGCUGGCGGCGUGCCUAAUACAUGCAAGUCGAGCGAACGGACGAGAAGCUUGCUUCUCUGAUGUUAGCGGCGGACGGGUGAGUAACACGUGGAUAACCUACCUAUAAGACUGGGAUGACUUCGGGAAACCGGAGCUAAUACCGGAUAAUAUUUUGAACCGCAUGGUUCAAAAGUGAAAGACGGUCUUGCUGUCACUUAUAGAUGGAUCCGCGCUGCAUUAGCUAGUUGGUAAGGUAACGGCUUACCAAGGCAAUGAUGCAUAGCCGACCUGAGAGGGUGAUCGGCCACACUGGAACUGAGACACGGUCCAGACUCCUACGGGAGGCAGCAGUAGGGAAUCUUCCGCAAUGGGCGAAAGCCUGACGGAGCAACGCCGCGUGAGUGAUGAAGGUCUUCGGAUCGUAAAACUCUGUUAUUAGGGAAGAACAUAUGUGUAAGUAACUGUGCACAUCUUGACGGUACCUAAUCAGAAAGCCACGGCUAACUACGUG
rnacentral:rRNA from 1 species